rnacentral:rRNA from 1 species
UACGAAGGGUGCAAGCGUUGUUCGGAAUUACUGGGCGUAAAGCGCGCGUAGGCGGGUCUAUAAGUAGAUUGUGAAAUCCCUAGGCUUAACCUGGGAACUGCAGUCUAAACUGUAGAUCUUGAAUGUCUGAGAGGAUGGCGGAAUUCCCGGUGUAGUAGUGAAAUACGUAGAUAUCGGGAAGAACACCUGAGGCGAAGGCGGCUAUCUGGCGGUACAUUGACGCUGAUGCGCGAAAGCGUGGGGAGCAAACAGG